AUAUCAAUAAGCGGAGGAAAAGAAACCAACAGGGAUUGCCUCAGUAACGGCGAGUGAAGCGGCAAGAGCUCAAAUUUGAAGUCUGAUGCCUUUGGCGUCCGAGUUGUAAUUUGAAGAGGAAUCUUCGGCACGGACCAUGAUCUAUGUUCCUUGGAACAGGACGUCGUAGAGGGUGAGAAUCCCGUACACGGUUGAUGGUCUCGAGUCAUGUGAAGUUCCCUCGAAGAGUCGAGUUGUUUGGGAAUGCAGCUCUAAAAGGGUGGUAAAUUUCAUCUAAAGCUAAAUACCGGCGAGAGACCGAUAGCGCACAAGUA
rnacentral:rRNA from 1 species